CUACUUACCUGGCAGGGGGAGGUACCAUGACCAAGACGGUGGUUCACCCAUGGCAAGGCCCGUUGCACUCCGGCGGGGGCUUGCCUAUGAGAAUUCCCCAAAAUGUGGGAAUCUCGACUGCACAAUUUGUGGUAGGGGGGGGGGGGGGCUGCGUUCGCGCUCUGAGCUCAGU